rnacentral:rRNA from 3 species
UUAAGCGACUAAGCGUACACGGUGGAUGCCCUGGCAGUCAGAGGCGAUGAAGGACGUGCUAAUCUGCGAUAAGCGUCGGUAAGGUGAUAUGAACCGUUAUAACCGGCGAUUUCCGAAUGGGGAAACCCAGUGUGAUUCGUCACACUAUCAUUAACUGAAUCCAUAGGUUAAUGAGGCGAACCGGGGGAACUGAAACAUCUAAGUACCCCGAGGAAAAGAAAUCAACCGAGAUUCCCCCAGUAGCGGCGAGCGAACGGGGAGCAGCCCAGAGCCUGAAUCAGUGUGUGUGUUAGUGGAAGCGUCUGGAAAGGCGCGCGAUACAGGGUGACAGCCCCGUACACAAAAAUGCACAUGCUGUGAGCUCGAUGAGUAGGGCGGGACACGUGGUAUCCUGUCUGAAUAUGGGGGGACCAUCCUCCAAGGCUAAAUACUCCUGACUGACCGAUAGUGAACCAGUACCGUGAGGGAAAGGCGAAAAGAACCCCGGCGAGGGGAGUGAAAAAGAACCUGAAACCGUGUACGUACAAGCAGUGGGAGCCUCUUUAUGGGGUGACUGCGUACCUUUUGUAUAAUGGGUCAGCGACUUAUAUUCUGUAGCAAGGUUAACCGAAUAGGGGAGCCGAAGGGAAACCGAGUCUUAACUGGGCGUUAAGUUGCAGGGUAUAGACCCGAAACCCGGUGAUCUAGCCAUGGGCAGGUUGAAGGUUGGGUAACACUAACUGGAGGACCGAACCGACUAAUGUUGAAAAAUUAGCGGAUGACUUGUGGCUGGGGGUGAAAGGCCAAUCAAACCGGGAGAUAGCUGGUUCUCCCCGAAAGCUAUUUAGGUAGCGCCUCGUGAAUUCAUCUCCGGGGGUAGAGCACUGUUUCGGCAAGGGGGUCAUCCCGACUUACCAACCCGAUGCAAACUGCGAAUACCGGAGAAUGUUAUCACGGGAGACACACGGCGGGUGCUAACGUCCGUCGUGAAGAGGGAAACAACCCAGACCGCCAGCUAAGGUCCCAAAGUCAUGGUUAAGUGGGAAACGAUGUGGGAAGGCCCAGACAGCCAGGAUGUUGGCUUAGAAGCAGCCAUCAUUUAAAGAAAGCGUAAUAGCUCACUGGUCGAGUCGGCCUGCGCGGAAGAUGUAACGGGGCUAAACCAUGCACCGAAGCUGCGGCAGCGACACUAUGUGUUGUUGGGUAGGGGAGCGUUCUGUAAGCCUGCGAAGGUGUACUGUGAGGUAUGCUGGAGGUAUCAGAAGUGCGAAUGCUGACAUAAGUAACGAUAAAGCGGGUGAAAAGCCCGCUCGCCGGAAGACCAAGGGUUCCUGUCCAACGUUAAUCGGGGCAGGGUGAGUCGACCCCUAAGGCGAGGCCGAAAGGCGUAGUCGAUGGGAAACAGGUUAAUAUUCCUGUACUUGGUGUUACUGCGAAGGGGGGACGGAGAAGGCUAUGUUGGCCGGGCGACGGUUGUCCCGGUUUAAGCGUGUAGGCUGGUUUUCCAGGCAAAUCCGGAAAAUCAAGGCUGAGGCGUGAUGACGAGGCACUACGGUGCUGAAGCAACAAAUGCCCUGCUUCCAGGAAAAGCCUCUAAGCAUCAGGUAACAUCAAAUCGUACCCCAAACCGACACAGGUGGUCAGGUAGAGAAUACCAAGGCGCUUGAGAGAACUCGGGUGAAGGAACUAGGCAAAAUGGUGCCGUAACUUCGGGAGAAGGCACGCUGAUAUGUAGGUGAAGUCCCUUGCGGAUGGAGCUGAAAUCAGUCGAAGAUACCAGCUGGCUGCAACUGUUUAUUAAAAACACAGCACUGUGCAAACACGAAAGUGGACGUAUACGGUGUGACGCCUGCCCGGUGCCGGAAGGUUAAUUGAUGGGGUUAGCGGUAACGCGAAGCUCUUGAUCGAAGCCCCGGUAAACGGCGGCCGUAACUAUAACGGUCCUAAGGUAGCGAAAUUCCUUGUCGGGUAAGUUCCGACCUGCACGAAUGGCGUAAUGAUGGCCAGGCUGUCUCCACCCGAGACUCAGUGAAAUUGAACUCGCUGUGAAGAUGCAGUGUACCCGCGGCAAGACGGAAAGACCCCGUGAACCUUUACUAUAGCUUGACACUGAACAUUGAGCCUUGAUGUGUAGGAUAGGUGGGAGGCUUUGAAGUGUGGACGCCAGUCUGCAUGGAGCCGACCUUGAAAUACCACCCUUUAAUGUUUGAUGUUCUAACGUUGGCCCCUAAUCGGGGUUGCGGACAGUGUCUGGUGGGUAGUUUGACUGGGGCGGUCUCCUCCUAAAGAGUAACGGAGGAGCACGAAGGUUGGCUAAUCCUGGUCGGACAUCAGGAGGUUAGUGCAAUGGCAUAAGCCAGCUUGACUGCGAGCGUGACGGCGCGAGCAGGUGCGAAAGCAGGUCAUAGUGAUCCGGUGGUUCUGAAUGGAAGGGCCAUCGCUCAACGGAUAAAAGGUACUCCGGGGAUAACAGGCUGAUACCGCCCAAGAGUUCAUAUCGACGGCGGUGUUUGGCACCUCGAUGUCGGCUCAUCACAUCCUGGGGCUGAAGUAGGUCCCAAGGGUAUGGCUGUUCGCCAUUUAAAGUGGUACGCGAGCUGGGUUUAGAACGUCGUGAGACAGUUCGGUCCCUAUCUGCCGUGGGCGCUGGAGAACUGAGGGGGGCUGCUCCUAGUACGAGAGGACCGGAGUGGACGCAUCACUGGUGUUCGGGUUGUCAUGCCAAUGGCACUGCCCGGUAGCUAAAUGCGGAAGAGAUAAGUGCUGAAAGCAUCUAAGCACGAAACUUGCCCCGAGAUGAGUUCUCCCUGACUCCCUGAGAGUCCUGAAGGAACGUUGAAGACGACGACGUUGAUAGGCCGGGUGUGUAAGCGCAGCGAUGCGUUGAGCUAACCGGUACUAAUGAACCGUGAGGCUUAACCUU